CUGGCUCCCAGGGAGAGGCACAGCGUCGGUCAGCAGGCAAAUGGACACCCUCCCCGUCAUAACCCGCCAGGCACUGCCGGAGGGAGUGAACACGUGGCCUGGCACAUCUGGGCAUUUCCAACUGUUGGACGCAGGGUUCUUCCAGCAUGCCCGUUUUAGAAACCCCACUAUGAGGUUCGCCUGCGGUGGUGCGAACCCCAGGCUCACUCGUCGCUCUGACUGAAAGGCAGGGAGAAAACAGGAAGAAAGAAGCUGGGAAUGCCCACAGGCAGAGGGAAGGUGCCAGGGCCUGGCGGCCGGGAGAGGCCUCCCCGUGUGAUUCCAGUGGCCGCCAGGCAGUUCAGAGUGUUCAAGUGCACAGAGAUGAAUGGAACCAUUUCUGCCCUCCGGAGCUUGGGAGUUGAGCAUGAGCUGUGUCAUGGGUGGCAAACUGCAUGUGCAGUCAGGGAGGGCUUCCUGGAAGAGGUCACCCGGCUCCCGGCUGGCCCCUGAAUGGCUGUCGCUGCCGGAAUGACUGCCCGAGUCCGAGACCCUGCUCAGGUCGCUGUUCUGGGAGGAAUUCUGAGAGCUGGGGCCGCUGUCCAGCUCAUCCCAGCCCCCUCCGGCCUGCCCAGGCUGAUGCCUCACAGCUGGAGGAAACAGGACAGCCGGUGAGAUCCCUGGGGCUUCAGGCCAGCCCCAUGCCCACCUCCCGGGGCCCUGGACCAGGAGGCCUCGGGGGCUGAGUCCUGAGCUGAGGAUGGGUGGCCACCUUGGCUCCAGCUUCAGCAAACACCAGCCCCAUGGGCAUGUGCUUCCGCCGCGGGUCCCACCCC
rnacentral:lncRNA from 1 species